CGGUGUAAACCGGAGGAAGGUGGGGAUGACGUCAAGUCCUCAUGGCCUUUAUGCCCAGGGCUACACACGUGCUACAAUGGGUGGUACAAAGAGCAGCCAGCUCGCGAGAGUGAGCAAAUCUCAAAAAGCCAUCCUCAGUUCGGAUUGAAGUCUGCAACUCGACUUCAUGAAGUUGGAAUCGCUAGUAAUCGCGGAUCAGCAUGCCCGCGGUCGAAUACGUUCCGGCCUU
rnacentral:rRNA from 1 species